GAUGAACGCUGGCGGCGUGCCUAAUACAUGCAAGUAGAACGCUGAAGGAGGAGCUUGCUCUUCUGGAGGAGUGGCGAACGGGUGAGUAACGCGUAGGUAACCUGACUGAAGCGGGGGAGGAGGAUUAGGAAGGGAAACUUAUGCCGAAAGAGAAUAGGUAAUGCGGGAGAAAGGAGUAAAAGGGGGGACCGCGCGAGAAACAAAGAGACGGGGGUGUAUUUGAUAGUUGGGGGGGGAAAGGCUCACCAAAGCGAAGGUACGUAGCCGGCCUGAGAGGGGGAUCGGCCACCCUGGGACUGGGACACCGCCCAGACUCCUACGGGAGGCAGCAAGAGGGAAUUUUCGGCAAUGGACGGAAGUCUGACCGAACCACUCCGCGUUAGUGAAGAAUGUUUUCGGAUCGUAAAGCUCUGUUGUAAGAGAAGAACGAGUGUGAGAGUGGAAAGUUCACGCUGUGACGGUACCUUACCAGAAAGCAACGGCUAACUACGUG
rnacentral:rRNA from 1 species